rnacentral:tRNA from 1 species
CGAGUUGAAGGCGCUCCAGGCGGCGCUGGCGGCCGAGCACGCCGCCGUCUACGGCUACGGCGUGGUCGGCGGCCGGAUCGGCGCCGACCGGCGCAA